rnacentral:rRNA from 1 species
AAUCUUGCGCAAUGGGCGAAAGCCUGUCGCAGCCACGCCGCGCGAAUGAUGAAGGGCCUAGGAUGGUAAAAUUCUUUCUCCGGGGACGAUAAGGACGGUACCCGGAUAAGAAGCACCGGCUAACGUCGUGCCAGCACCCGCGGUAAUACGAAGGGGGCUCGCGUUGCUCGGAAUUACUGGGCGUAAAGGGCGCGUAGGCGGACAUUUAAGUCAGGGGUGAAAUCCCAGAGCUCAACUCUGGAACUGCCUUUGAUACUGGGUGUCUUGAGUGUGAGAGAGGUAUGUGGAACUCCGAGUGUAGAGGUGAGAUUCGUAGAUAUUCGGAAGAACACCAGUGGCGAAGGCGACAUACUGGCUCAUUACUGACGCUGAGGCGCGAAAGCGUGGGGAGCAAACAG